GGAUAACUGCCCUUGGGACCGGCAUAACCCCGGGAAACUGGGGAUAAUUCCGGAUAACGCAUAUUUGCUGGAAUGCUUUAUGCGUCAAAAGGAUUCGUCUGCCCAAGGAUGGGUCUGCGGCCUAUCAGGUAGUAGUGGGUGUAAUGUACCUACUAGCCAGCGACGGGUACGGGUUGUGAGAGCAAGAGCCCGGAGAUGGAUUCUGAGACAUGAAUCCAGGCCCUACGGGGCGCAGCAGGCGCGAAAACUUUACAAUGCGGGAAACCGUGAUAAGGGGACACCGAGUGCCAGCAUCAUAUGCUGGCUGUCCGGAUGUGUAAAAUACAUCCGUUAGCAAGGGCCGGGCAAGACCGGUGCCAGCCGCCGCGGUAACACCGGCGGCCCGAGUGGUGAUCGUGAUUAUUGGGUCUAAAGGGUCCGUAGCCGGUUUGGUCAGUCCUCCGGGAAAUCUGAUAGCUCAACUAUUAGGCUUUCGGGGGAUACUGCCAGACUUGGAACCGGGAGAGGUAAGAGGUACUACAGGGGUAGGAGUGAAAUCUUGUAAUCCCUGUGGGACCACCUGUGGCGAAGGCGUCUUACCAGAACGGGUUCGACGGUGAGGGACGAAAGCUGGGGGCACGAACCGGAUUAGAUACCCGGGUAGUCCCAGCCGUAAACGAUGCUCGCUAGGUGUCAGGCAUGGCGCGACCGUGUCUGGUGCCGCAGGGAAGCCGUGAAGCGAGCCACCUGGGAAGUACGGCCGCAAGGCUGAAACUUAA
rnacentral:rRNA from 1 species